GAAUUGGCUUCAAUCAUACGCUGUCUCAUCUCUCUCUCCAUUCUCACAAAACAUCUCGAGAGAUAUCCUCCAAACCUUAAUCGGCGAUUCCUUUCCUCACCGUUUCAAUCGAUCUUUUUGGAAGAGAUUUGAAGUUUGUCGGUGCAGUACAGUUGCUGGUGGACCGUCAGAUCAACCGACGCCGACACCGCAGUGGCGGAUCAUGCGGACGCAGACGGCGGGGAAUCUCGGAGAGUCGAUAUUUGAUAGUGAGGUGGUGUCGUCGUCGUUGGUCGAGAUUGCUCAGAUUCUGCGUAUGGCUAAUGAAGUUGAGCCUAGCAACCCUAGGGUUGCUUAUCUCUUGUGGCGGAUCUAAAUGGAGGUUUGAGUGUAUGAAAUUGAUUGACCGGAAACGCAUAUUGAAGCCUUAGAAAGGGUGUUUUGGAGACCACGUUUUUUUCAGAUGGUUGUUUUGAUUUUCAAGCUUAAUUAUUCCUAUUUAAGAGCACGAAAAUGGUAUAGAAAGCAAUCACGACUUAACCUCCCUCACCAUCAACGAAGUUUUUUACCCACCACUAGCAGUGCCACCACUUCUGCGACAACACUUUCUCUAUCCAGUCAUUAAUGCAUAAUUGAGUCCCUGAGAGAUAAUGAAGAAUGAACAUACAGAUCAUCAAGGAGUAAAAUGUGGAGCUCCAGGAAAGAACUAGCAAGUUCAGGAAGCAAGCUAAUGCAAUAGCUGAGUGGGACAGGAGAAUCUUGCAGAACCGAGAUGUUCUCCUUAAAGUUGAGGUAUAAGCAGGCUGAAUUUAUCGAGAGAGAAAUGGAACAUAUGACGGAAUAAAUAAAAUCGGUUAUUCAGACUCUCAAUGCCAAUCGGGUUGGAGAACUUGAAGCAACUGAUGGUAUGACUCCAUUGGAUGUCGUUGUCCGGAUCCUUAACAAUCAACUAAGUUCAUUAAUGUGGAUUGAUGAAAAGGUUAUGCUGUUCUUCCAUAUUUUCAUCUUUCUUUCACUAAGCUCACUAAAUGUCGUUCAUAAAUGCCUUUCAGAUUUUGAAUAUUGUUUUUUUUUUUCAGAAACUAUAAAUUCUGUGAUUUUGAGAAAAUGUUGAACAGGGUUUUUACUGGUAGAUAUUAAAGUGUACACUAUGCAUGUGAUGUUGAUGGCAGUGCAUUUUCAUCUUCUCCCACUGAUGAAGUUGGAAAUAGCAAAUUGAAUUUGAAGGUUUUAACAUUCAAUUUGCUGUCAUAUAUUAAUCACACUUUGUUCUUUACAAAAAAAAAAUGAACAAUUAUUCCUUUCAAAAAACUACACUAAAAAGUUUAACCUACCGGCAGUUGAUUCUUUGAACGUUCGAUCAACUCCAGUUAUCAUAAUCGUCUGCCAUUAUUCUAUUUUGUAUUUUGUUGAUCAUCCGAAUAAAAUUCUUUUUUUUUUCCUGUUUGUUGCAUGUUCUUGAUUCAUUCAGAAAGAAGUACAUGUAUGUUUCUUAUUUUGUGAUUUUAAUCGUUUAAUAUGAUUUCUUUAAAGUUGGUUACCUUUGAUUUUGUUCACUUAGUUUCGUAUAUCGAUUAAUUGAUGUUUUUUCUUUGUUUUGAUUUAGCUUUUUCAUGAUAUUGGUUUACACGAACUGAUCAUCGCUCGAUUUUUUCAACAAUCUAUUGAUCCUUAUAUUAAAGAGUUUCAUAUGAACCCUUCCUCUCAAUUCAAUUGGGUAUUUGGUUUAUAGAUCUACAUAUAACUUAACGUUCUUCAAUAUUCAAAGCCCUAAUCUUCAAUGUUUUGUUUGAUUCCGCUUUACACCUUAAUUUCUUUGUUAUUAUAUCUAAAACGAAGAUUUGAUUUGUUGAUUUGUGAAUCACGGCAUUGGUUUUCAGGAACGUAAAGGGGCUGAAGUUUCUUAAAAAGAUGAAGGUUUACUCCGUUGAUAGAAAGAGAAUAUAGAGGCCGAGGGUAUGGAGUUAUAAGUAUAAGUGACGAUGGUGUAUGACCGCUAAAGUAAUUGGAUAUUUGACCUUGCAUUACCUAGAAAUUCAUGGAGAGUUCAAGUAUCGAAGUUAUUAAAAGGUUCACAAAAAUCUUCAAUCUACCAUGUUCAACGAAUAAUGAAAGAGGCACCCACAACAAUUAAUGAUGUUUUUAUAUAAGCAUCUCCACAUUGGGCAAGUCAAUUUAUACGUUUUUAUACUAUUGCAUAGUUUCAGCAGAUGAUGCUGGUGCACUUGAUUUGCCCAAAGUUUUUGAACUUAUAGUCGAAGGAGAAAAUCUCCCAGUACACUUUGAUAUGGAACUUAAGUUACUAAGAGAAUGCAAUAUGUUGCAUUGCUGCAACAUACAAACAUGUUCAAGAACUUUGUUAGCCAGUUUCGGGACGAGCUCAGUACCAACCGGUACCAAAAAUCCCUAAAAAUGGUACCAGUACCGGCACCAAAUAUACCCGGUACGGUUCGGUACCGGUAACGGUAUUUGAGGGUAAAAAACGGUAUCGGACCGGACCGGUACCGAAAACGUCAAAAGUCGAUACCGAAUGCCGAACCCGAUACCGAAUCAGUACCGAAAAAUGUUUGGGUUUGGUAAAUUUGGUAGUGGUUCCUGAUACCAUUUGUUCAUCCCUAAGCCAGUUGGUCUCUAUCUCUGCAUGGAUCAAAGGCCUUGGGCUGUCUUUUGCUAAUAUUUAUGGUUUACUUGGAUGAUAAUCAUGUAGUUACAUUCUUGAAUGAUUUAUGUACAUAUAAGAGAAUUAGUUGAACCUUUACAGUUUUGUAAUGUAAUGUUUUCUUAUGUAACCAUUUGUUUGGUGGUUUU